CUCACUUGCUCCUCAUCUCCCUGUUCACUUUCAUUCAUUUCUGUGUAUGGGCAAGAAGGGCUAACAUGGACUCUUUGGGUCUUUGUAUCCUUCUUAUGCUUCUGUGUUUCCAGUGGACGACGGCCCCUGCUGCUGAGGAAAUUACCUGGACCUACACUGUUACAGUUCAACAAGCUGGCACGAGAAAAGCAGCCACAGAGAGAUGAUGAAGGGGAGGAGGGAGAUAGAGAGGAAGAAAGCGAGGAAAAGGCACGGAGUGAGAAAGGCG